AAAGUCGUAACAAGGUUUCCGUAGGUGAACCUGCGGAAGGAUCAUUACAACUCAGUAGCUUGCUACUGUCGGGAGGCGCUGUAAGUCCGUAUAGUUUUAUUACUGAUGAGCGGCAGGCCCUCUGUCUGUACCCUUGUCUUUUGCGCACUCAUGUUUCCUCGGCGGGCUUGCCCGCCGAUUGGACAAAACUAUAACCUAUUUAAUUUUCAAUCAGCGUCUGAAUAAAUAUAAUAAUUACAACUUUCAACAACGGAUCUCUUGGUUCUG
rnacentral:misc_RNA from 1 species